UACGAAGGGGGCUAGCGUUGCUCGGAAUUACUGGGCGUAAAGCGCACGUAGGCGGCUUUCUAAGUCAGGGGUGAAAUCCUGGAGCUCAACUCCAGAACUGCCUUUGAUACUGGAGAGCUUGAGUCCGGAAGAGGUGAGUGGAACUCCGAGUGUAGAGGUGAAAUUCGUAGAUAUUCGGAAGAACACCAGUGGCGAAGGCGGCCAACUGGUCCGGUUCUGACGCUGAGGCGCGAAAGCGUGGGGAGCAAAUAGG
rnacentral:rRNA from 1 species